UACGGAGGGUGCAAACGUUGCUCGGAAUCAUUGGGCGUAAAGCGCACGUAGGCGGCUAGAUAAGUCGGGUGUGAAAGCCCUGGGCUCAACCCAGGAAGUGCAUUCGAAACUGUCUAGCUUGAAUCUCGGAGGGGGUCAGAGAAUUCCCGGUGUAGAGGUGAAAUGCGUAGAGAUCGGAAAGAACACCAACGGCGAAAGCACUCUGCUGGGCCGACACUGACACUGAGAGACGAAAGCUAGGGGAGCGAAUGGG
rnacentral:rRNA from 1 species